rnacentral:lncRNA from 1 species
UUAGAGGUACUCCUCGUGAAGGUGGGAGAUCAGAAGGAAAUGGCAGCUGGUCACUCAACCCUCAAAAGACAUCCUUAUUCCGAUUCCCUACUCCUCUGGCGAGGAUUCACCAAGGGAACUCCUCACCAUAUGGGCCGACUCAGAAACGCCAAAAUCCACGUAGAGAGAGCCGUCAAGCUGCCUCCUACUGGGUUACCAAAAUUCCCUGAAGGCAGACGUCCUGUCUGGUUCACCAUUGCCUCCUAUAUGUCUGAUGCUGAAGCAAGUUACUGCCUCUCACCUUAUAGCAGAAGAAGAUCUUUAUGAUUCAUGGACGAUACCCAGUGAUCCGGUGUCUCUUGCGCCAGAGAGGCUGGGUAGAGAAGAAGAUGGUGCAUCCCCCAGGCACGAUCCUGCCACCACCUUCGAAGGAUCUAGACAGCUCCAUGCUGGGUGACAGCGAUGCCACAGAGGAUGGUGAGUAGGCUCCCCAGUCCCGCAUGGUUCGAAACGAGACCCCUUACCUGAUCUGGACCACUCGGCGAGACGUGCUAGAUUGUCGCUUCCUUUCCAAGGAUCAGAUGAUAAACCAUUAUGCCCGUGCCGGCUCCUUCACUACAAAGGUGGGCCUUUGUCUCAACCUCCGGAAUCUGCCAUGGUUUGAUGAGGCUGAUGCUGACUCCUUCUUCCCACGAUGCUACCGACUGGGGGCAGAGGAUGACA